UACGGAGGGUGCAAACGUUGCUCGGAAUCAUUGGGCGUAAAGCGCACGUAGGCGGCGGCGUAAGCGGGAUGUGAAAGCCCAGGGCUCAACCCUGGAAGUGCAUCCCGAACUGUGUCGCUUGAAUCUCGGAGGGGGACAGAGAAUUCCCGGUGUAGAGGUGAAAUUCGUAGAUAUCGGGAGGAAUACCAGUGGCGAAGGCGCUGUCCUGGACGAAGAUUGACGCUGAGGUGCGAAAGCGCGGGGAGCAAACAGG
rnacentral:misc_RNA from 1 species